CCCCCCCCCCCCCCGUCUGUGCAGGCUCCGCCGACACCGCCGCCGCCUGUUUAUAAAUUAAUUACCCGAAAAGCGGAGGUGGGUCCUGCCCGGGCCGGGUGCCAGCCCGCAGAGCCCAGCCGGCUCGGCCGCCUGCAUCGAUCCCAGCGGGGCCCCUCGCCCCCGCGCCCGCCCGGCGGCCUCGGUUAUUUACAGUCGGCUCCGCGGGCGGGGGCGGCGGCGCAGGGCCGAGAUUGACAGCCCGGCUCCCGGCGCUGCUCCCCGGUGGCCGGCGCCCCCUCCCCCGCGCAGGCCAGCCGAGCGGGCCCCAGGCAGGGCAGGGAAAGCAAUUAAAAAGGAAGAUUUUUAAAUUAUUAACAUUUGGUGAAUUAUUCAGGCUCUCGGUGCCUGACUGCCCUGGGGGACAGUGCCUUGUGUAAGGAGAAGAAAUCCUGCCCCCUUUCCCAGCACUCCUCACCCAACUCCAGCCAGAAAAGCCAAGUUGGGGGCAGCACCGUGGGCUGGGGUCUGCAGGCUAGGGUGCAGCUGGUCAGCUGGUGGGUGGUGAGGUGUGUCGGUGAGAGGCAGGAAGGACAGAGUGAGCACAGGGUGGGGAACUGGGGGGGGGGCAGGGACUGCGCCCCCACCCCCGGGGCUCUGCUGAGCACCAGCCAGCUACGUCCUGCUGGCCACAGCCUAGCCGCUCCCCAUCCUGCCUUCUGGAUGUCCUAGCCCGACUGCCUCCCUCUUCCUGGCGCCUUCCACACAGAGGCCCAGGCUGUCCCCAGGUGAGGUGUCCCGCACACUCUCACGCACUACCCCGAGGGCCCCUACAGUAGGAAGGGCUGCAGCACACCGGCCGGGGCACGGGGCACGAGGAGGUGCUGUGAGCACUGGAGAGGGGGGCAGGCCUGGCUCGUUCCCCACCUUCUACUCUCACGGGGGCUCAUCCCAGACUCAGUCUCCUCAUCUGUGGAUGUGGGUGACUGUGCUGGCAUGUCACACGGAGGGCUGGCCCUGCUGCAGAGUCUGUGGGAGAUGGCGGGGUGGGCUGCAGGGGUAUGCAGGUGGGGGGUCCCCCAGAUCUUCUCAAACAAGUGGGUGCUGGGCAGAGGGAGGGGGGAAUCUCCCUUCAGUGCUCACCCACAAGGCUAAUGGCAGAUCCGCAUCCAGAUCCAGUCUCGUCGUCAGCAGCCCCAGACCCCAGGGCCUCUUGCCAGGCUGAGCAGAGGCCUCCAGGGAUGGCCGGAGCCCAGCACACACGGGCAGACACGGCCGGGGAAGUGCGGCAGCAGCGAGAGGCCAAUCAAUCCCCACUUUACAGCUGACAGAAUGGUGCUAAUAACUUAUCGAUCUCGGCCACCUCGGCAGCCCAAGCCCAGGCCUUGCCCCGAGAGUGACGAGGACCUUACUGCUUGGCGGAAGGGCUCCUACCUCAGUGACCUGGCAGGACAGGGAGCCACGCACCCAGCAGAAGGGCCCCUUGAGGAAGCCACAGCUGGCCCCCAACAGCUUGGGGGCAUCGGGGCCCAGCUGGAAAGGGGUGGCAGUGGCCUUGACCCCUUCAAGCCCACCCCAGAAGUAGCCACGGUGGGACCACUGCCUUGGCCUCCUGUCUGCCUGGCUGGCCUGGAUUAGCACAAUUACCAUCCCAUGGAGCCCCAGGGGACAGCCGGCCUCCCUGGCUGUUGGCCAAGGCUGC